GGGAGAAUGCAAUAUUUGGUAAUAACCCGAAUAAACGGACUCAUAAUCCGCGUGGCGUAGGUUCGAGUCCUACUGGGCCCACCA
rnacentral:tRNA from 1 species